rnacentral:misc_RNA from 1 species
CAUAGAUGCAAGAUGCAAUAUGAGUAUCUUAGAGUUUAUCUUAAUCAUAAUCUCCUGUGUCCUAAUUGCCAUGAGCCAUUUUUGGCUGUUGAAACAGCUCCUCCACCUUCAAAUGGUUUCUAAAACUUCCACCACAUGGAAUUUUUCUCAGCAGCGCCAGAGCUCAAGUCAUCAAGCUGCAAGUAAAAACACAUCAAAUUCUGCAAGCAACAAUGUGGCCCCUCCAAAUGCAGGACCUGGCAGACCAGACUCGUAUAGUCAGACCAACUUCCCGUGGGGUCCAUUCUUUAGAGCUGGUGGUGCCUCAUCUGU